rnacentral:rRNA from 1 species
CACGCCGUAAACGAUGAAUGCUAGGUGUUGGGGGGCAAAGCCCUUCGGUGCCGUCGCAAACGCAAUAAGCAUUCCACCUGGGGAGUACGUUCGCAAGAAUGAAACUCAAAGGAAUUGACG